rnacentral:rRNA from 1 species
GACAGAGGGGGCAAGCGUUGCUCGGAAUUACUGGGCGUAAAGGGCGCGUAGGCGGGAUGGCAAGUCGGUCGUGAAAUCCCUCGGCUCAACCGAGGAACGUCGAUCGAUACUGCUGUUCUUGAGGAUUGCAGAGGAGACUGGAAUUCCCGGUGUAGCGGUGAAAUGUGUAGAGAUCGGGAGGAACACCGGUGGCGAAGGCGG